AGCGACCCCGGACAGGAAAACACGGAUCCAGAGGUGCAAACCAACGGUAGGUUUAUUGGCGCUAGCCAGGCAAAAGCACAGCGAGGGAUUGGCAAAAGUCGAGGUCGUUGGACGGGCAGAGAGGUCGGGAUCCGGGUUGUCAGUCCUACAGAAAGGCACGAGACGAGACCACACGAGGGAGCGGGAAGGAGACGUGCCGGGUUCGGCCGGGAAGACAGGUCAGGAUCGGGUCUGGAGAAGGAAAGAGAGACAGGCAAGGAGCAAACACAAGGUAAACGGAUCAGGCGGGGAAGAAGAGGGAGACGACAGACAAAAAAACCGCUCGGUUCAUCGACACAUUAAGGUGCUCCGCUGACCCCUGACGCUGCAGUGAAGCAGAGAGGUCAAACUCUUCCCUCUGUCACUUCUGAGGCAUGCGGCUCAAUAGGGUUUGCAGAUUGCAAUCUGCAGCUGAAGUAACACACAGAGGCACGGAAGUCAACUCAUCUGAUGAAUUAAUUGGGUCACGCCUGCUGUUAAAUGAGAAUGUCGAAUGAGAAGACUUCAUUGGAUUUUCUCGUGAAUGUGGUAAGUCGCAUGGUCCCACGCUGACAGACCAUUUAUCAUCUCAGUGUUUGUGGGAAUGUGUGACUGAUGGAACCUGGCUGGACUUCUGAUGGAACAUUGCUGUAAUUCUGAUGGAACAUUGCUGGACUUCUGAUAGAACAUUGCUGUAAUUCUGAGGGAACAUUGCUGGACUUCUGAUGGAACAUUGCUGGACUUCUGAUGAAACAUUACUGUAAUUCUGAUGGAACAUUGCUGGACCUCUGAUAGAACAUUGCUGUAAUUCUGAUGGAACAUUGCUGGACUUCUGAUGGAACAUUGCUGGACUUCUGAUGGAACAUUGCUGUAAUUCUGAUGGAACA